rnacentral:rRNA from 1 species
AGUGAACGCUGGCGGUAGGCCUAACACAUGCAAGUCGAACGGCAGCACAGUAAGAGCUUGCUCUUACGGGUGGCGAGUGGCGGACGGGUGAGGAAUACAUCGGAAUUUACUUUUUCGUGGGGGAUAACGUAGGGAAACUUACGCUAAUACCGCAUACGACCUACGGGUGAAAGCAGGGGAUCUUCGGACCUUGCGCGAUUGAAUGAGCCGAUGUCGGAUUAGCUAGUUGGCGGGGUGAAGGCCCACCAAGGCGACGAUCCGUAGCUGGUCUGAGAGGAUGAUCAGCCACACUGGAACUGAGACACGGUCCAGACUCCUACGGGAGGCAGCAGUGGGGAAUAUUGGACAAUGGGCGCAAGCCUGAUCCAGCCAUACCGCGUGGGUGAAGAAGGCCUUCGGGUUGUAAAGCCCUUUUGUUGGGAAAGAAAAGCAGCAGGUUAAUACCCCGCUGUUCUGACGGUACCCAAAGAAUAAGCACCGGCUAACUUCGUG